rnacentral:lncRNA from 1 species
UCUAGAGAAGGUUAGGAGUAGUAGUUCUCCUACUUCCUCUGUGCAUCAGAAUUCUCAGUACACCCAUUUUGGUGCCAGUUCCAUGAACUAUAUGGCUAAUCCAUUUCAUGCAGCUCAUUUGAAUGCAAAUCAGUAUAUGGGUUUUGCUCCUACUGCUCAUGUUAGUACUGUGGAACCUUUUUUACUGCCAUUUCCCAAUUACCAUUCACCAAACAUUCAAGCUCCACUCCCUUACCACACAUUCACACAACACAUACCACCUAGUGCUCAUAGCAGCUCGUACAGCCAGUACACUCACCCUAUAGUGUCUAAUAACACAUAUUCUCCACACCCAAUUUUUGGAGCUCAGUCAGCUAAUGGGGCGUGGCUGCAGACUACAC